UAAGGAAUAUUGGUCAAUGGACGCAAGUCUGAACCAGCCAUGCCGCGUGAAGGAAUAAGGCCCUAUGGGUUGUAAACUUCUUUUAGACGGGACAAAACCCCUUUACGUGUAAAGGGUUGAUGGUACUGUCAGAAUAAGCAUCGGCUAACUUCGUGCCAGCAGCCGCGGUAAUACGAAGGAUGCAAGCGUUAUCCGGAAUUAUUGGGUUUAAAGGGUGCGUAGGCGGACUAAUAAGUCAGUGGUGAAAGCCUGCAGCUUAACUGCAGAAUUGCCAUUGAUACUGUUAGUCUUGAGUACAGUUGAGGUAGGCGGAAUGUGUCAUGUAGCGGUGAAAUGCUUAGAUAUGACACAGAACACCGAUUGCGAAGGCAGCUUGCUAAGCUGUAACUGACGCUGAGGCACGAAAGCGUGGGGAGCAAACA
rnacentral:rRNA from 1 species